AAACAAAUACAUAAGAACAAACGUCAGGUAACCUGCUUGACAGCCAUUAAAUCCCCAUAAUCUCAUACCCGCACUCCUGAUAUGUAACACGAGCAGCGAGAUAAAAUAUGUUAUCAGGUGUUAGCGAAUAAUCGUAACACGAUGAAUCUCUCUACUUCGGGACUCGGACUGUCAUUCCGAAUUGGAAAACGAGGGUGUAACUCAUUGAAAGUCUCCCGAUGUUAUGUAGCUAUGGGUUGAUACCAUUAUUGUCGUAGUAGGCAUAUUUCGCAAGAUAGUAUAGCCAGUUGUCUUGUUAAACUCGGAUAUCUUCAACAAAGAUACCGCUAUUAUUACACUUCAACAUACAAAAUAUAACAAAACUCUAACCUUUA